UACGGGGGGGGCAAGCGUUGUUCGGAAUUACUGGGCGUAAAGGGCUCGUAGGCGGCCAACUAAGUCGGAUGUGAAAUCCCCAGGCUUAACCUGGGAACUGCAUCCGAUACUGGAUGGCUUGAAUCCGGGAGAGGGAUGCAGAAUUCCAGGUGUAGCGGUGAAAUGCGUAGAUAUCUGGAGGAAUACCGGUGGCGAAGGCGGCAUCCUGGACCGGCAUCGACGCUGAGGAGCGAAAGCUAGGGGAGCAAACGGG
rnacentral:rRNA from 1 species